UACGUAGGGUGCAAGCGUUAAUCGGAAGUACUGGGCGUAAAGCGUGCGCAGGCGGUUUUGUAAGUCUGUCGUGAAAUCCCCGGGCUCAACCUGGGAAUUGCGAUGGAGACUGCAAGGCUAGAAUCUGGCAGAGGGGGGGUAGAAUUCCACGUGUAGCAGUGAAAUGCGUAGAGAUGUGGAGGAACACCGAUGGCGAAGGCAGCCCCCUGGGUCAAGAUUGACGCUCAUGCACGAAAGCGUGGGGAGCAAACAGG
rnacentral:rRNA from 1 species